GCUGGGUGCAGUGGCACACACCUGUAAUCCCAGCAGCUUGGGAGGCAGAGGCAAGAGUAUCAUGAGUUCAAAGCCAGCCUCAGCAAUGCAGUGAGACCCCCAGUAACUUAGUGAGACCCUGUCUCAA
rnacentral:sRNA from 1 species